rnacentral:ncRNA from 2 species
UUACAAUCCUGCAUUCAGGGUGCAUUCACCGUGCCACGGCAUGGGGUGAAUGGUAAACGGGAAACAGAACGCGCACGCUGGCGCGCCAACCUGUGCUGCCCCCGCAACGGUAAUCAGGCAUUCGGCCUGCAGCCCGACAUCGGCCCUGAAACUGCCACUGCG